UGAAAGAAGAGUCCAAGAAGACGACGUUGAAAGAAGAGUCCAAGAAGACAACGUAGAAGGAGGAUCCGAAUUUGAGGACACUGACAGUGGAAUUUAUACAGCCAGGCCAUCUGCUGCUAGUAGUCAAGAGGGAUUCCUUAAUGUAACGAAUGAAACGUUUGUUUAAGUGGAUACAAAGAUUGUGACAUUCCAACAAAGAAGAGUCGUUGUCAAGGGUCAAACUUCAAACAGGUUACCCAUUCUUAUGUUAUAAUUAAUUCAUUCG